AGAAUCAACGCUGGCGGCGUGCCUAACACAUGCAAGUCGAACGAGAAAGUGGAGCAAUCCAUGAGUAAAGUGGCGCACGGGUGAGUAACACGUGACUAACCUACCCUUGAGUGGGGAAUAACUUCGGGAAACCGAGGCUAAUACCGCAUAAUACCUACGGGUCAAAGGAGCAAUUCGCUUAAGGAGGGGUCGCGGCAGAUUAGUUAGUUGGCGGGGUAAUGGCCCACCAAGACAGUGAUCUGUA
rnacentral:rRNA from 1 species